rnacentral:rRNA from 1 species
AUUGAACGCUGGCGGCAGGCCUAACACAUGCAAGUCGAACGCGUGGCGGACGGGUGAGUCAUGUCUGUGAAACUGCCCUAUGGAUGGGGAUAACUACUGGCACCGGUAGUUAAUACCGCUUACCUUCGGAUGUUCCCUGAUGGGAUUAGCUAGUAGGGGGGGUAACGGCUCACCUAGUCGACGAUCCCUAGCUGGUCUGAGAGGAUGACCAGCCACACUGGAACUGAGACACGGUCCAGACUCCUACGGGAGGCAGCAGUGGGGAAUAUUGCACAAUGGGCGCAAGCCUGAUGCAGCCAUGCCGCGUGUAUGAAGAAGGCCUUCGGGUUGUAAAGUACUUUCAGCGAGGAGGCGUUACUCGCAGAAGAAGCAUCGGCUAACUCCGUGCCAGCAGCCGCGGUAAUAC